rnacentral:piRNA from 1 species
AUUUCCUGUCAUUAGCGGCCCC